UACGUAGGGUGCGAGCGUUAAUCGGAAUUACUGGGCGUAAAGCGUGCGCAGGCGGUUCGUUGUGUCUGAUGUGAAAGCCCCGGGCUUAACCUGGGAAUGGCAUUGGAAACUGGCGAGCUGGAGUGUGGCAGAGGGGGGGUGGAAUUCCGCGUGUAGCAGUGAAAUGCGUAGAGAUGCGGAGGAACACCGGUGGCGAAAGCGGCGUGCUGGAUCCCUUCUGACGCUGAGGCGCGAAAGCCAGGGGAGCGAACGGG
rnacentral:rRNA from 1 species